rnacentral:lncRNA from 1 species
AACAUUUCAAAAAUUUAAUUUGAGCUAGUCAACAGUACGUAAUUUUAUUUCAAAAUUUAAGCUAACUACUUAUUUUAAUUAAUUUAUACUUGCAAAUAUCGUAUGAAGUAUAAUAACUAAACUUGUAAAAAUAGACCACACGUUCAAAUUUUGAAGUCAAAAUAUCAUUGAGCGACACAAAUCAAAUGAAUUGAAAGGUAAAAUCAAAAUUUUGAAAAAUUGAAUAGCCAAUUCAAAAGUUUUAUAAGUUUUUACCUUUAAUUUAUUUGGCUAAAUUACAGAAAACCCCCCUGUAAUAACCCACUUUUUUACUUUCCCCACCUGUCAUUUAAAAACCUACACUUUGCCCCCUUGUAAAAUAAAAAAUAUUCAUAGGGGGGUAUGGUGUGUAAAUGACCAUUUUGCCCCUCGCCAUAUUCAUCUUCUUCCUCAUCUUCCUCAGUUGCCCUUUGAUCGGCCGCGAUUCCCACCUCAAUCGGCCGCGAUUUCUCUCCAUUUUCUUCUCCACCUGCUCCCCUUCUCCUCCUGCACCCUCGCCGCCCCUUGAUUUCGGCGACAGUAGGGAGAAAAUCGAGGUGGGUGUUGAUGGAGAGGUAGGCAAGGGCAACGAGGGCGAAGGCGAGGCGGUGGAGGAGAGUGAAGGGGAUGUGGGCGAGGGCGAGACAGUGGAAGAGGGCGAGGCGGCGAUGAGGCGGCGAGCCGGAGGGAGGCGAAGCAACAGGAAAGAGGGUGGAGGGAUAUUUUUGGUAUAAAAAAAUAUUUUAUAAUUGGAAUCU